UACGGGGGGGGCAAGCGUUGUUCGGAAUUACUGGGCGUAAAGUGUGCGCAGGCGGCCAUGCAAGUCGAGUGUGAAAGCCCCGGGCUUAACUUGGGAAUUGCGCUCGAAACUACGUGGCUGGAGUGUGGCAGAGGAAGGUGGAAUUCCACGUGUAGCGGUGAAAUGCGUAGAGAUGUGGAGGAACACCAAUGGCGAAGGCAGCCUUCUGGGCCAACACUGACGCUCAUGCACGAAAGCGUGGGGAGCAAACAGG
rnacentral:rRNA from 1 species